GGAAUAUUGCACAAUGGGGGAAACCCUGAUGCAGCAACGCCGCGUGAGUGAAGAAGUAUUUCGGUAUGUAAAGCUCUAUCAGCAGGGAAGAAGAUGACGGUACCUGAGUAAGAAGCCCCGGCUAACUACGUGCCAGCAGCCGCGGUAAUACGUAGGGGGCAAGCGUUAUCCGGAUUUACUGGGUGUAAAGGGAGCGUAGACGGCUGCGCAAGUCUGAAGUGAAAGCCCGGGGCUCAACCCCGGGACUGCUUUGGAAACUGUGCUGCUAGAGUGCUGGAGAGGCAAGCGGAAUUCCUAGUGUAGCGGUGAAAUGCGUAGAUAUUAGGAAGAACACCAGUGGCGAAGGCGGCUUGCUGGACAGUAACUGACGUUGAGGCUCGAAAGCGUGGGGAGCAAACAG
rnacentral:rRNA from 1 species